CAAAUUAGAGCUUGGUAUAAGCAUCUUAUUUACAUUAAGAAGUUUGUCGUGGAAUACGAUUUAAUUUGA
rnacentral:tRNA from 1 species